UACGGAGGGUGCAAGCGUUAUCCGGAUUCACUGGGCUUAAAGGGUGCGUAGGUGGGUAGGUAAGUCAGUGGUGAAAUCUCCGGGCUUAACCCGGAAACUGCCGUUGAUACUAUUUGUCUUGAAUAUAGUGGAGGUGAGCGGAAUAUGUCAUGUAGCGGUGAAAUGCUUAGAUAUGACAUAGAACAUCGAUUGCGAAGGCAGCUCGCUACACUAUUAUUGACACUGAGGCACGAAAGCGUGGGGAUCAAACAGG
rnacentral:rRNA from 1 species